rnacentral:rRNA from 1 species
UACGUAGGGUGCAAGCGUUGUCCGGAAUUAUUGGGCGUAAAGAGCUCGUAGGCGGUCUGUCGCGUCGGAUGUGAAAACCCAGGGCUCAACCCUGGGCCUGCAUUCGAUACGGGCAGACUAGAGUUCGGUAGGGGAGACUGGAAUUCCUGGUGUAGCGGUGAAAUGCGUAGAUAUCUGGAGGAACACCGGUGGCGAAGGCGGCAUCCUGGACCGAUAUUGACGCUGAGGCGCGAAAGCCAGGGGAGCAAACGGG